UGAGAGAGAUAGAGACUCAAAAAGCUGUGUCCACUCGUCGGCUCGUCGCAACCUUUCGGUUUUUAAUUUUUAAUAAUCAUUUCGAAAUAUUUCUUCUGUAUAUAUAUUUGUGUCUAUCGUCCCUU